rnacentral:rRNA from 1 species
UGGGGAAUUUUGGACAAUGGGCGCAAGCCUGAUCCAGCAAUGCCGCGUGCAGGAAGAAGGCCUUCGGGUUGUAAACUGCUUUUGUACGGAACGAAACGGUUCUGGUUAAUACCCGGGGCUAAUGACGGUACCGUAAGAAUAAGCACCGGCUAACUACGUGCCAGCAGCCGCGGUAAUACGUAGGGUGCAAGCGUUAAUCGGAAUUACUGGGCGUAAAGCGUGCGCAGGCGGUUGUGUAAGACAGGCGUGAAAUCCCCGGGCUCAACCUGGGAAUUGCGCUUGUGACUGCACGGCUGGAGUGCGGCAGAGGGGGAUGGAAUUCCGCGUGUAGCAGUGAAAUGCGUAGAUAUGCGGAGGAACACCGAUGGCGAAGGCAAUCCCCUGGGCCUGCACUGACGCUCAUGCACGAAAGCGUGGGGAGCAAACAG